UUAAAAAAGAAUAAUCUGAAAAAAAAAAGAAACCAAAAAAUAGAUGGCACUUUGAGAGAUAACUUUUAGGCUAUAUAUGCGAUGAAAAAUGCAAAAGGGAAUGUUUUGUAGAAAUGACGGCUCAACAAACAAAAAAAACAAAAAACAAAAGAAGGCAACAAGGAAAGGCUCGUGUCGAAGAGGAAAAUAUGGGAAACAAAAUCAAACGCCGGGCGA